GAUGAACGCUGGCGGUGUGCCUAAUACAUGCAAGUCGAGCGAACGGACGAGAAGCUUGCUUCUCUGAUGUUAGCGGCGGACGGGUGAGUAACACGUGGAUAACCUACCUAUAAGACUGGGAUAACUUCGGGAAACCGGAGCUAAUACCGGAUGAUAUUUUGAACCGCAUGGUUCAAAAGUGAAAGACGGUCUUGCUGUCACUUAUAGAUGGAUCCGCGCUGCAUUAGCUAGUUGGUAAGGUAAUGGCUUACCAAGGCAACGAUGCAUAGCCGACCUGAGAGGGUGAUCGGCCACACUGGAACUGAGACACGGUCCAGACUCCUACGGGAGGCAGCAGUAGGGAAUCUUCCGCAAUGGGCGAAAGCCUGACGGAGCAACGCCGCGUGAGUGAUGAAGGUCUUCGGAUCGUAAAACUCUGUUAUUAGGGAAGAACAUAUGUGUAAGUAACUGUGCACAUCUUGACGGUACCUAAUCAGAAAGCCACGGCUAACUACGUG
rnacentral:rRNA from 1 species